rnacentral:rRNA from 1 species
CGGGGUGCAGCAGGCGCGAAAACUUUACCUUGUGGGAAACCGUGAUAAGGGGACACCGAGUGUCAGCAUCAUAUGCUGGCUGUCCAGGUGUGUAAAAUACACCUGUUAGCAAGGGCCGGGAAAGACCGGUGCCAGCCGCCGCGGUAACACCGGCGGCCCGAGUGGUGAUCUUGAUUAUUGGGUCUAAAGGGUCCGUAGCCGGUUUGGUCACUCCUCCGGGAAAUCUGAUAGCUCAACUAUUAGGCUAUCGGGGGAUACUACCAAACUUGGAACCGGGAUAGGUAAGAGGUACUACAGGGGUAGGAGUGAAAUCUUGUAAUCCCUGUGGGACCACCUGUGGCGAAGGCGUCUUACCAGAACGGGUUCGACGGUGAGGAACGAAAGCUGGGGGCACCAACCGGAUUACAUACCCGGGUAGUCCCAGCCGUAAACGAUGCUCGCUAGGUGUCAGGCAUGGCGCGACCGUGUCUGGUGCCACAGGGAAUCCGUGAAGCGAGCCACCUGGGAAGUACGGCCGCAUGGCUGAAACUUAAAGGAAUUGGCGGGGGAGCAC